UUCUUAUCAAGUUUGAUGGAUGUUAUUGUCGUGUUUGAUUUGUUGGAUUGAAUUUGUUUAUGUCGGGUUAAUAAAGUUUUCAAUUAAUUAAAUUGAAAGUCACUAAACAAAUGGUACAAACUUAUAAGCCAAAAUGUAUAAUAAACACAACCUUCUAAAGGGAAAAUAUGACAAACUAAUUAAUUUUUUUGGUAAAAGGAAUGAUGCUAUGGAUGUUAAUCAAUUCACAUAUAAUCCUUUUUGUUUAAGAUGUGAUCAUAACACAUUGUGUCAAUAUCCUUUUGGAUUGUGUUAUCUGAUAAUAAUGUAUGGACACAAAUACAUGAGAGUAUAAAAUUAAUAAGUUUUCAGGCAUAACUCGGUAGGUUGUCUAGUAGUCUGCAUGUUGAGAUGUGACUUUUCUGAAGGAUAUUGAGCUUACUGCAAAAACUGUAAGUAAUUUUCAUCAACUGAGGGGAAAUUCUAACUUGGUUAUAUGCAGAAAGAGUGCAAGGUCUCUCUAUGUUCAUCUUAAUCAGUGAUUCUAUAUAUUGUAAGCGAAACAAGCCUUUCCCAGUUUUUCCCUAAAGAGGCAACACAAUGAAGAAAUCUAAUUUAUAUUAAAAUUCCCUUGCUUCUAGACAAGCUCUUGAUUCCAUACAAUAAUCCUUUAUGCUUGGAAAAAUAAUUAAAUUCUGUUUGUACCAUUCUUUUCAACAGAAUGAUAAAUAUUGGUUGUUCAAAUGGCACAUACAAAUUAAAUCUAAUUGGAUCACCUGUAUUCCAUGCAUAUGGCUCAAAUCCUUGAUACUUUUCAAAUUAGUAGAGCGGAAUAAAAAAAAGUUCUUAUUGUUGAAGAAGUGCUGAUCUUAAUUCUUACAAGCUGCUGCUAUCUGCUUAGUUGCUGCUAUACUUACUUCCGUAGUUUUGUCUUGCUCAAGUACUAUUUUUGUAAAUUGAGGCCUCAAACAUAAGGCUUGAUGCAGUAUAUAACAUGUGAGAAGGAGCCUCAGGCAUAAAUAAAGGCUUGUUGCAUAUGGCAGCUAACUACAGUAUAUUAUCCGUGAUUUUCAGUAUAAGUAAAUAAACUAAGACUUAUCUUCAUAGGCUGUAUACAAUAUGAAAUAGUCCUGAUUGUCCUGUUUCAUUGAACAAUAUGAAAAUUCACUUGUAUGUUCUAUUUGCUGUAUACCUUAAG
rnacentral:lncRNA from 1 species